UACGUAGGGGGCAAGCGGUUGUCCGGAAUCAUUGGGCGUAAAGGGCGCGUAGGUGGCGGGACAAGCGUGCGGUGAAAGCCUGGGCUCAACCCGGGUCGGCCGUGCGAACUGUUUUGCUUGAGCACUGUAGAGGCAGGCGGAAUUCCGGGUGUAGCGGUGGAAUGCGUAGAGAUCGGGAAGAACAUCGGUGGCGAAGGCGGUCUGCUGGGCCGUUGCUGACGCUGAGGCGCGACAGCGUGGGGAGCAA
rnacentral:rRNA from 1 species